rnacentral:rRNA from 1 species
UACAGAGGUGGCAAGCGUUGUUCGGAAUUACUGGGCGUAAAGGGCGCGUAGGCGGCCUUCUAAGUCAGACGUGAAAAUCCCCCGGCUUAACCUGGGACUGCGUCUGAUACUGGGAGGCUUGAGUAUGGGAGAGGGAUGUAGAAUUCCACGUGUAGCGGUGAAAUGCGUAGAUAUGUGGAGGAAUACCAGUGGCGAAGGCGGCUCACUGGCCCGAUACUGACGCUGAGGCACGAAAGCGUGGGGAGCAAACAGG